rnacentral:lncRNA from 1 species
UUUGGCAUUGAUCCAAAGUUGAGCGAUGUGUGAGUAAGAUGAAAGAGCCUUGCCUAGGUAUUCAGAAGCAAGAGCAAUGCAAAAACGGUCAUGCGAUCAACAAAGCAGUACAGUUAUUAAAGCCCUCCCAGGGUGAAUAAACAAAAACUCACCAAUGACAGCUAGAAAAAAACCAAACAAAAAAAAACUUUCCCUGUAGUGACCACUUUGUACUGCUUCCUUUUUUUUUAACUUAAGAAGCAAAAUUUAGUUUAUAAAAAUUAAAGCAUAAAAUCAAAUCAUAUCCCAAACAUUAAACAAAACUAACUCAAGUAACACAUUGAAUCUCACUUUUGGCUUGUGUUUGACAAGAAAUGGCCAUGGCAGUUUUUUGGCAUCUUUCCAACUGGACUUCCUUACAGAGCUGCCAGGACACUGUUAAUUAGGAAAAUAGUUGCAAAAUAAAGAGGCUUUGGAGAGAACAAACUACAAAUGUGAUUCAAAUAUAUUGAAUCUUUCCAAGAUGUGCCUUGUGGCCUUUCUCAGCGUAUUACUUGUUCAGAACAUCACUCAUGAGCCAGGAACCAUGAACAUGCAGGAACUGUGUACACGAUGUGGCUGUCCCCAGCAAAAUCAAUUCCCACAUGGUGAUGCAGCUAAGAAUCAUCAGUAGCCAUUACUCCUAGAAGCUCAUGGAAUUUGAAAGGUGGGUAUGGGUGGCAUACUAUACCAUCCACUAUAGAGGAGUCACCUAAAGCAUUGAAUUCUGAUGGAAAACUUUACAAAUUGUAUAUGGUCAGGAGAUUGAUGAAUGACAGAUGAACCAGUGAGAGGUUCUAAACUCAGGACAGUCACUGAAUUGGUAAGGGGCAUCAAGACUGUGAAGUAAAAGAAUUGCAAACAAAUGAAUACCUGGGAAAAAUGGUACCAUGUUGAAAAUAGAAGGUGUACUGACUGGAACAAGAGAGAAUGUUGACAAACUUCGCAAGCAAGUAUGGACCUGAAAUACUCAUUUCACUAGAGUGAAACAUGAAGCCACUAGUAACUUAUUAUAUUAAUAGUGUAAAUUCUUGACCCACUUCUGUGGGUCCAUUUCUGUACAAUAUUUUUACUUUUUUUUCUAAUACUUUAAGAAACCAGCCCUCUGGC